UGAUGGCAAUGAUGAUCUUUACAUUCUUUGUUCACCUGACAGCAGUAUGAAGGUGUUCAGUCACUACCUCAUCUGAUGCCAUCU
ensembl:snoRNA predicted gene, 26287